CAACUAGGAACUAUGAGGUUGCGGGUUUGAUCCCUGGUCUCACUCAGUGGGUUAAGGAUCUGGCAUUGCUGUGAACUUCCAUUUCCAGAUCGCAGAUGUGGCUCGAAUCCUGUGUUGCUGUGUCUCUGGCAUAGGCCAGUGGCUACAGCUCCGAUUAGACCCCUGGCCUGGGAACCUCCAUAUGCCAUGGGUAUGGCUCUAGAAAAGACCCCCCAAAAAAUAAAAUAAAAUACCUUAACUGGAGGAGUUCCCUCCAUGGCACAGUGGAUUAAGAAUCUGACUGCAGUGGCUUAGGUCCCUGCAGAGGUGUGGGUUCAAUCCCUGGCCUAGCACAGUGGGUUAAAGGAUCUGGUAUUGCUGCAGCUGCACUGUAGGUCACAGCUACAGCUUGGAUUCAAUCCCUGGCCCAGGAACUUCCAUAUGCCACUAGUGUGGCCAUAAAAAGAAAAAAAAAUGUACCUUAACUGGAGGUUUUCUGUUAUCAUCUCUAAUGCUAUUUUGAAAAGAACUAUAUGCUAAAAGAACAGAACUAAAUUUCCAUUGACUAAAACACACUUCACAUUGUGGUUUGUUACUUAAACUAGCCAUAUUUAGAAGGAUGUGCUCUUUCUUUUCAAUAGAAUCAAAGAUUUUUACUGUGGUAAUCUAUUUCAGUGAUCAUUCUCUUUAACAAAUGAGAAAAUGAUUUGGACGAGGACAUGUAAUCAAUGAGUAACAGUGUUAGAGUUUAAAUUUCCCAUGUGCUUCCUUUUUAGCCAAUUUUCUUUACACUUCAACUCUCCCUCUUUUAUUUCUCUGGAGGCUUCCCCAUUCACUUUGUCCAGAGAAUAAUCCUUGUCCUUCCUUCAGUGAGUGCCUUGGUUCUUUGGAAUACCUGAUGGUUCAAAUAGGAGUGGGAACCUGGAAUUCUCACUAAAGACUUGACAUUUAUCCCUGUUUUCAGUCACAUGCCUUACAGUCAUGCCUUCUGUAAUUGGUCUUUCUUAUUGCUCAACUUUUUUUUUUCUUUUUCCCAGAGUGUUUUUGGAUCGAUUCACCUCAGAUUUCUCCACUAUUAGGGGUCAAAUUUCCUGAUGACAGUGUCAACUUACAACUUCCAUUUCCACUUACAACUUGCUCUGCAAAACAAAAUUUAAAGGUUUAAAAUAACUACAGUCACUUUACUAUUUCUCAGUUUCUGUAGGACAGGAAUUCUGAAAUACUUUAGUUGGAAAACUUGAGUUCUGGCUCAGAAUCUAUCAUGCCAUUACAGUCAGAAUCAAUUAGAACUGGAAGAAUGGGAACUAGAGCAAUUAGGAGCUAGCUAGUCAUCUCUCCCUGAGAAGUCCCAGGACUUCUCUGUAUGGUCUGUCCCUCUGAUUUGGGUUGAGCUUUCUUACUGUAUUGGCUGCCUUAAAGCAGUCAAACUGCUGUGAUGGUAGUUUCAACCUCAACAGUGAAAAUUCCAGUGAGCAAAGUGUAAGCUGUAUCACUUUUUAUAGCCUAGUUUGAAAGUCACAUAAUGUCACUUCUACCAUAUUCUUUUGACCAAAACAUUCUCAAAAACCCACUCAGUUUCAUAGUGAAGGGGUAGAGAUGCUACCUCUCAAUGGGAGGAAUAUCAAAGCCACAUUGUAAGAGCAUAUGGAGUGGAAGAUUUUGUUGCAGCCAUUUUGGGGCGGUAGAAGUUGCAUCACAACUCCUACAUCUAAUUUCUUCACUUUUUUUGUAUGACCAAGGGUUUUUAAGUUAUGAAAUACAUCAUACAAAAAGGUAUAGAGAGUAAUAUAAUAGACACUUUUGUCUUCACCACCUUGCUUUAGAAAUAAAACAUUUCAAAUAGUUAACACCCCUUUCUGCUUACAUUUCUGUUUCUCUCCCUUUUACAAAGAGAUAAACAUUGUCUUAAUAUUUAUUAUUGUCAUGCCUAUCUUUAUAAUGUUAAUAUAUGUAUCUCUAAACAGUAGUAAAUACGAAGUCUUUUUAAGCUUCCUAUAACAUGAUUUUUUUUAUAACAUUAAAACUUUUGAAACUCAGUGUUACUCUUCUGAGAUUCAUUUGUAUUGAUGUAUAGCCAUAAGGCUCAGAUAGUAAAUAUGUUAGGCUUUGUGGGCAGACAGACUUUGUUGCAACUGCUUAUUCUGCAGUUGUAGUACAACAGCAGCUCUUCUAAAUAUGUAAAUGAAUGGUGCACCCAUGUUCCGAUACAACUUUAUAAAAAUAGAUGGCAGAGAACAGCAUUAGGCCUGUGGGCCAUAGUUUGCUGACCCUAGAUCUGGUAUAAAAUUUAUGAUACUUUAGAUAGCUUGUGUUCCCUGAAGGUUGUUUUAGCUUAUAACCCAGUCCCAACCCCAUCCUUAGCAUAUUUCUCUGCCUUAGGAAGAAAUUUUAGAGACACUGAUUUAGGAAUACAACUGACUGAUUUACUAAAUUUUGAUGUUUAAAAAGCCCCACUGGACUCCAUUUUUCAUUUUUUAUUCUUGAGGGGAAAGCCCAGCAAACUCCUGCCUUUAGACCCCUUUAGAAAUCCUCUCUUGAACUCAUACUGGCUCUUUUCUACAUGCCUUGUCUGCCUAGAAAAUUUCAGUUUAUAUAUCAAGAUUUCCCACGAAUGUCUCUUCCUUCAGGAUACCUUUCCUGAUACCUCCCAGCCAAAGGAAGGCUUUUCCAGUAUUCCCAUACUUAGUUGGUAUCUCUAACACAACUCAGAGCCUUACUUAUUUGUUUGCAUGACUGUCUUCCCCAUUAAAUUUUUAUUCCCUAGGGAAUGAAGACUUAUUCUGUUUAUCUUUGUUUCCAACACAAAACUCAGUGCUUGGAACCUAGAUGUACUUAACAAGUAGUUAUGGAAGGAUGGAAAGGAGGGAGGGAGGAACUAGUAUUCCAGUGUCUACUUGGAACAAGAAGCAAAUUUGCAUAAUAUGCAGGCCUCUGAAAGUGAAGAUACCCCUCUUCAUCUUUCUACCCCUAUAUAACUGAUCCAUAUCCAUUUACUAAUUUGUAUGUAGAUUUAAUAAAGUUAAAUAGCAUGAUGGAAGGAAAUGGGCUCUAGAAUUAGAAAGACCUGAAUUUGAAUCCAGGUUCUGCUCAUUACCAGCAUUAUGGCAUUGAGCACCUAUUUGAUUUCUCUUAGCUUUGAGUUCUGUAUCUGAAAAGGGUAUAGUAAUACCUCUCAUAGUGCCACAAGAACAAAUUCAGUCAGUCUUAUUACAUCGGCACUCAGUAAUGGUUCAAUCCCCAGCCUGGCGCAAUGGGUUAAGGAUGAGGAGUUGCUGCAGCUGUGGUGUAGAUCACAACUGUGGUGUAGUUUGCAGAUGUGGCUCAGAUUUGAUCCCUGGCUCGAGAAUUUCCAUAUGCUGUGGGUGAGGCCAUACACAAAAUCUGGUUGAAAGUAAAGAGAAGCUAAACUAAAAAGCUUCUUAACUGUUCUGCAGGGCUCCUGACUUAAGGAUAUUGAAAAGAGAUUGGUUGGAAAAGGUAUGGUACCUACACACACGUGUGUGAAUAUGUAUGCAUGUGUGUGACCAUGUGUGUGUAUAUGCUCUGUGCACAUAUGUGGUGUGUGUAUGAAUGCACAUGAAUGUGUAUAUAUGUGCACGUGUGUUUUCUGCUAGAUUUUCAUAGGAGGGGUGAGGAGGCAUAUCUUUCCUCCAAAAUAGCAAAGGUCUUGUGAAAUGCUGUAUGCUUUUAGUUCCAAAAUUCUACUGAAGAUCCCAAGGACUUGGGUAAAUGUUCAGCUUCAGAUGAAUCUUUCUAGGUGGAGGUGAGGCAUAAGGUAUAGAUCCUAGAACUAGUACAUCACUCUUGUGUUAGGGAGUAGUUUAUUUCUAAAGCAGAAUUAGCAUAACACUGUAAACAACAAAAAAAAAGGGGGAUAAAAGUGAAAUUUGAAGGAAGAGACUGGAAGCAAGUCUAGGAACUAAGGUGCUGACUCAAGGGGACCCUUAUUUCUGUUCCUUUGGACCUGUAGCAUCUAGUUCUAUGUUUUAUCCUACAUUGUAAUUCACCCUCUCGUUCCCACAGUUUUUCAAAGCACAGUACCCAUUCUGCAGCUUGAUGUUAAUAGUGUUGUGGGAACAGUGGGCAGGGAAUAAACAGACAAGGCAGUAAACAGAACCGCAGCCUUACCACCUCAGCUCUUCCUGAAGCCAAUGUAACUGGAACAAUAGGGUGUGAAGGUGUAAAGAAGGAGAUUCACAAGGCCACUAGUGGUGAACUAAACCACACCUCAUUAUGGAGGUAGUGGUGAAGAGUUAUGUGACCUCAGAGAAUCUGCUGCAGCUUGGACAGAAGAAGGAGGGCAUGAGAGAUCAACCCCCUGAAGUGAGGCAGGGUGAGAAAGGUAGAGGAGUGCAAGCAUAUACUUGGCUCACAGUGCGGUGUAGGAUCUUUGAUAAAGAAACUGGAAUGACACAUGAAUGAUUGAGAGCUAAUGGAUUUUUUUUUCAUGUGUUGAAAUAUGUGUAUAAUUUUAUUUUACUUCUUUUUAUGUGUAAUUUAUUUAUUUUGGAAUGGGAAUGGUAGUAACCUUCACAUAGUUCAUAAUUCAAAAAGUAUUCAAUUAUACACAGUGAAGACUCCCUCCCAUCUACAUGCUCCAGCCACACAGUUCCUCCUCCAGAGGCAUCAGCAUCAUUAAUUUACUUCCUUUCCUUAGGGAAAUACACAAGCAAAUUUGCAUAAGGCAUCCUCCCCACAAUCUUUUAUUUAUAUAAAUGAUAACUCACUAUUCUGCUUUUCUCACAAAAUUUAUUUUAGAGAUCAUUCCAUACCAGUACGCUUGUGAAUAACUUUAAAAAGUCAAAAUUAAGAGCCAAAAUGCAUUUGCAUUUAACUUCAUGAUAUCAUGAGAUUAUGGGGACAAAUUAAAGCAAAGUACAAAUUUUUAAAAGUGGUAUUAUAAUCAAUAUAUUCCUUGAAAAUUUCAAUUACUUUGAAUUAUUCAUAGAUCCAUGGGGGGAAAUAAUGGUUUAGAAAUGAAUGUGAUUGAAAUUGGUGCAUAUUUUCAGCAACUUUAUGGGAAGUCAGCAAAUAUGCUAAAUGAAUUAUAAUUCUCAAAAAGGUCAAAAAAACUCAAGGAACGUGAAUGUAAUUGAGGCAGGGUCAUAGCCUUGUCAGAUUUUGUAUUCAGUAACUUUAGCAAAGCAACUGUUAAAAUAUUGCUUGAAGGUUUUUACAUGUCCCAUAGUUUUGGAAUCUAAGUAGAAAUAGAAUAGAUGCCCCUGAAUGUGUCCUUUGAAACAGAAAGUCCAGUUUGGCCGAUACUAGAGGUAGUAGUGCUUUACAGAGGGAGUAUGAUUUUAAUCUAUCUUUUCUGGGUCCAGCCUCAAUCCAUAUAUAGUGUUUAAGUUGGUAACUCUGAAUUUGGCAGUCAGUUUAACCAUGAUGUAGCCGUUAAAGUAUUUAGACUACAUGGUCAUUGUAUUUGCUCUUGUGUAUAGACUAGUUUAUUAUUUUCUGUUGAUUUAUUUGCAAGAUUCCCAAAGUGUUUUUUUUUUUUUAUAUCAUUGAAAGGAAAGUAUCUAUGUCUUGAAAAUACUUGGUGAUUUAAAUAAUUCAGAUGUUGUAUUAGUUUGAUGGGGUUGCCAUAACAAAAUACUACAAGCUUGAAUGGCUUAAAUAACAGAAAUUUAUUUUCUCACAGUUUGGAGGAUGGGAGUCCAAGAUCAAGGUAUCCGCAGAUGUGGUUUCUCCUGAGUCUCUCUCCUUGGCCUUCAGAAAGCUGUCUUCUCACUAAGUGUUCACAUGGUCUUCUUUCUCUAUGUGUGCAUCCUGGUGUUUCUUCCUUUUCUUAUGAGGAUAUCAUGUUGGAUUAGGGUCUUACCCUUAUGACCUAUUUAAUCUUAAUUACCUCUUUAAAGGCUUUAUCUCAAAAUAUUGUCACAUUGGGGGUUAGGGCUUCAAUAUAUGAAUUUUGGAGGAGGGGGAUAUAAUUCAUUCUGUGGGAUAAUGCUGCAAUCAUGAACUUGUAAUAGUCUCAUUACCCACUUUCCUUUUAAGAUUACAACUUACUAUUAAUUACAAAUAGCAAAACACCUUAAGUAAAGGAUGCAUUGCUAUUUAAAAAACCUGAAACUAAAUUUUACCUCAGCCAGGUAUGGCCUCAAAUUGCUAAGAGCUGAAUUAAUUAUAACCACAUGUUGGAUAUUAAUCUUAGAAAAUUGAGUUAUCUAAAUUCUUAGUAAGAUCAUUGGCCAAUAGAUAACAAAAAACAACUGCAUAGGAAAAAAAAAAACCUGUGAAUAAGAAUACAAGGAUCUGAUCUUUUUUUACUUUGAAAAAAAAAAAAAACAAAACUAAGAGAGUUGUUUUUUCAGAGUUCCUUUUUUCCUUUUAACAGAUCACAUUAAAUCCUAAAAUAGUCCAAGUACAGAAUUUUGCUUUCUAAGCUAGAGAGUUAAGAUGAAAUGUUUUUCCUUAAAAAACAAAGAACUCAAUCAUUCAUAUCAAUAAUUUCUGAAAAUAUGUAGUGAGAAAAGAGUUUUGUAUGCAUAAUGAAGAUAUAGAAGCUAUAUGUAUGUUGUAUCUUAAGAAUAGCUAUUGGUUUUAGAAAGAGAAGAAAAAAUGUACUGAGACAAAUUGUUUUGAAAGGUAAUUGUUCUGAUUUGGCUUUCCUGAUGUGAUUGCAAGAGAAGAAGCCUGUGGUUGCUUGGUUAGUUUGUAAAGCUGGAAUAGCUCUUGUGUGCUGGCAAGUUUUGGUGUGCUUUUUCUGAGAAAUUUUCCCUAUUUUAAAAAUCCAAACCUUUCAUUAGGGUUUAAAAUAUGAUAUCAUGAUCACAUAAAGUUAGAGACAUAAAAGACUUUUUAAUUUACUUUUCAAAAUCAGUUAGAAAGAGUUACUGUCUGUUCCUUUUCUCCAGUAACUAUAAGCACAUAUAUUAUCCACUGUAAAUGUCUUGAUUUUUGUUGAAAAUCCAGGUAAGAUAUUUUUGUUAUUGCUGCUCAGUGAUCUUUUUGAGAAAAAAAAAGAAAUGUUUUAGGAGU
ensembl:lncRNA